UACGUAGGUGGCAAGCGUUGUCCGGAUUUAUUGGGUUUAAAGGGUGCGUAGGCGGUCCUAUAAGUCAGUGCUGAAAUAUCCCGGCUUAACCGGGAGGGUGGCAUUGAUACUGCAGGACUUGAGUAAAGUUGAGGUAGGCGGAAUUGACGGUGUAGCGGUGAAAUGCUUAGAUAUCGUCAAGAACACCGAUAGUGAAGACAGCUUACUAAACUUUAACUGACGCUGAGGCACGAAAGUGUGGGGAGCAAACAGG
rnacentral:rRNA from 1 species